CUUCAGAACCAGCUGGCAGUUAAAGAGGCAGAAAUCCAGCAGCUCAGAGAGAAGUUGAGAGAACUGGAAGGAGACCAAGAAACCACCUGCAGGCAGCCUGGGAUUGAUGGGACACAACCUCCAAAUCAGGCUCCAGAUCCCUCUCCCGGGCUCUGCCUUUUGUCUGGAGUUGUUGACUGCAAAACAGGGGAGGAAGAGGAGGAGGAAGACGAGGAAGAGAAGACAGCAGCCGCGAGACUCGUUCGAUCUGCCUUCAGGGCGUCCCUUGAGGAACCGCCUCUCCCCUCCAGUCCUGAGAGGGAGAAAGCCUCUGAGGAAGAAAAAGUGGGCUGGUCGCUGUUCAAAUUCUCCCCUCUGGUCUUCACUUCCAAUUCUGGUAAUUCCGCUGACUUCCCCUUAAAUGUUUUUUGACACAUUUGCUUGAUUUCUUAUUUUGCACAUUUCUUUUGACACGUUGGAUUGACUAAAUUCCCACAACACCGUCACCUUGUUUACUAAGACUGUGUUGCUAUUCUUCUCAUCCUUCCCAGUAUCUAUCUCUUCCCACUUGCUUGCAACCGUGUUGCUCGUAUCUUUACCAUUUAUGUUGUUUUAUUUGUUCCUUAGUAGGAUUUUGAUUGCUUAUUAGUAACCUAUGA